rnacentral:rRNA from 1 species
UAGCUAGUUGGUGAGGUAAAGGCUUACCAAGGCGACGAUCUGUAGCGGGUCUGAGAGGAUGAUCCACCACACUGGAACUGAGACACGGUCCAGACUCCUACGGGAGGCAGCAGUGGGGAAUUUUGGACAAUGGGGGCAACCCUGAUCCAGCCAUGCCGCGUGAGUGAAGAAGGCCUUCGGGUUGUAAAGCUCUUUCGGCCGGGAAGAAAUCGCAUGGGCCAAUACCCUGUGUGGAUGACGGUACCGGAAUAAGAAGCACCGGCUAACUACGUGCCAGCAGCCGCGGUAAUACGUAGGGUGCGAGCGUUAAUCGGAAUUACUGGGCGUAAAGCGUGCUCAGGCGGUUUUGUAAGACAGGCGUGAAAUCCCCGGGCUUAACCUGGGAACUGCGUUUGUGACUGCAAGGCUAGAGUACGGCAGAGGGGGGUGGAAUUCCACGUGUAGCAGUGAAAUGCGUAGAGAUGUGGAGGAACACCAAUGGCGAAGGCAGCCCCCUGGGUCGAUACUGACGCUCAUGCACGAAAGCGUGGGUAGCAAACAGGAUUAGAUACCCUGGUAGUCCACGCCCUAAACUAUGUCAACUAGGUGUUGGGUGGGUAAAACCAUUUAGUACCGUAGCUAACGCGUGAAGUUGACCGCCUGGGGAGUACGGCCGCAAGGUUAAAACUCAAAGGAAUUGACGGGGACCCGCACAAGCGGUGGAUGAUGUGGAUUAAUUCGAUGCAACGCGAAAAACCUUACCUACCCUUGACAUGCCAGGAACUUGCCAGAGAUGGCUUGGUGCCCGAAAGGGAGCCUGGACACAGGUGCUGCAUGGCUGUCGUCAGCUCGUGUCGUGAGAUGUUGGGUUAAGUCCCGCAACGAGCGCAACCCUUGUCGUUAAUUGCCAUCAUUUAGUUGGGCACUUUAACGAGACUGCCGGUGACAAACCGGAGGAAGGUGGGGAUGACGUCAAGUCCUCAUGGCCCUUAUGGGUAGGGCUUCACACGUCAUACAAUGGUCGGUACAAAGGGUUGCCAAGCCGCGAGGCGGAGCCAAUCCCAGAAAGCCGAUCGUAGCCCGGAUUGCAGGCUGCAACUCGCCUGCAUGAAGUCGGAAUCGCUAGUAAUCGUGGAUCAGCAUGUCACGGUGAAUACGUUCCCGGGUCUUGUACACACCGCCCGUCACACCAUGGGAGCGGGUUCCGCCAGAAGUAGGUAGCCUAACCGCAAGGGGGGCGCUUACCACGGCGGGGUUCGUGACUGGGGUGAAGUCGUAACAAGGUAGCCGUAGGGGAACCUGCGGCUG